AUUGAACGCUGGCGGCAGGCCUAACACAUGCAAGUCGAAUGGUAACAGGAAACAGCUUGCUGUUUCGCUGACGAGUGGCGGACGGGUGAGUAAUGUCUGGGAAACUGCCUGAUGGAGGGGGAUAACUACUGGAAACGGUAGCUAAUACCGCAUAACGUCGCAAGACCAAAGAGGGGGACCUUCGGGCCUCUUGCCAUCAGAUGUGCCCAGAUGGGAUUAGCUAGUAGGUGGGGUAACGGCUCACCUAGGCGACGAUCCCUAGCUGGUCUGAGAGGAUGACCAGCCACACUGGAACUGAGACACGGUCCAGACUCCUACGGGAGGCAGCAGUGGGGAAUAUUGCACAAUGGGCGCAAGCCUGAUGCAGCCAUGCCGCGUGUAUGAAGAAGGCCUUCGGGGUGUAAAGUACUUUCAGCGGGGAGGAAGGGAGUAAAGUUAAUACCUUUGCUCAUUGACGUUACCCGCAGAAGAAGCACCGGCUAACUCCGUG
rnacentral:rRNA from 1 species